rnacentral:lncRNA from 1 species
CCAGCAGAAGAACAUUGGGCCAGAAAAAAGCAUUGAGCUUGAGGGACUAGACUAAUCAAAAAAUGGAAUAACAUGGCAACAAUUACACUGAUGAGUGAGAGGGAAGCUACAGAUGCAUUCAGACACCUAUGGCACCACAGACUCAACGCAUUCAGCAUUUUGUGUUUAGUGUCUUGUGUUUUUGAGAGCAGGGAACUGAUAACCUCUCCUCAAAGAAAGUAAAAGGCAUGAAAUACCAUCAUUCUCAUGGAGAAACUGG